rnacentral:rRNA from 1 species
AUUGAACGCUGGCGGCAUGCCUUACACAUGCAAGUCGAACGGCAGCACGGGAGCAAUCCUGGUGGCGAGUGGCGAACGGGUGAGUAAUAUAUCGGAACGUGCCCAGUCGUGGGGGAUAACUACUCGAAAGAGUGGCUAAUACCGCAUACGAUCUACGGAUGAAAGCGGGGGACCUUCGGGCCUCGCGCGAUUGGAGCGGCCGAUAUCAGAUUAGGUAGUUGGUAGGGUAAAAGCCUACCAAGCCUGCGAUCUGUAGCUGGUCUGAGAGGACGACCAGCCACACUGGAACUGAGACACGGUCCAGACUCCUACGGGAGGCAGCAGUGGAGAAUUUUGGACAAUGGGCGCAAGCCUGAUCCAGCCAUGCCGCGUGAGUGAAGAAGGCCUUCGGGUUGUAAAGCUCUUUCAGGUGGAAAGAAAACGCAUGGGUCAAUACCCUGUGUGGAUGACGGUACCAUCAGAAGAAGCACCGGCUAACUACGUG